AAAGCCUUGGGGCUAAUGGCGAAGCCUUAUAUAAGCGGCUGUGAGGUGAGCUUGAGAGUACGAGUGAGGCUUGCCAUCCUGCAGUUGGUAGACAUCAUCUCAUACAAGAUCUAAGAUGAAGGCUGUCGUCGUCGUUGCUCUGUGCGUCCUCGUGGCUGUCAGCCAAGCUGGCUUUAUUUCCCCAGGCUACGGCUUUGGUGGAUACGGCUACGGCAUUGGUGGCAUUGGUGGCAUUGGAGGUCUUGGUGUCUUGGUGGUCUGGGCGGCUUGGCGGUCUGUACGGUGUCAAGGAAUUGCAUCGGAGGCUUAGGUGCAUCGGCCUCGGCGGCAUUGGCAUCGGUGGCAUCGGCCUUGGCGGCCUUGGCGGCCUUGGCGGCAUCGGUGGCAUCGGCCUUGGCGGCCUUGGCGGCAUCGGUGGCAUCGGCCUCGGUGGUAUCGGAGGAGGUUUCUACCGGGGAUUCCCGUACUACAAGAAAUACGUCUACUAAGAAAUGAAGACUUGAAGUCGCUGACGUCCAAGGAGUUUACCCAUUUGAAAUCAUAACAACAGCAAAUUGGAGGCUAUGUACUGAGCCUUAAAGCAAUAAAUAUUUGAACCAACGA
rnacentral:lncRNA from 1 species